rnacentral:rRNA from 1 species
AUUGAACGCUGGCGGCAUGCCUAACACAUGCAAGUCGAACGAGUGGCGGACUGGUGAGUAAUGUCUGGGAAACUGCCUGAUGUAGGGGUAUAACUACUGUAAACGGUCGCUAAUACCGCCUACCCUCAUUUCUGCCCAGAUGGGAUUAGCUUGUUGGUGGGGUAACGGCUCACCAAGGCGACGAUACCUAGCUGGUCUGAGAGGAUGACCAGCCACACUGGAACUGAGACACGGCCCAGACUCCUACGGGAGGCAGCAGUGGGGAAUAUUGGACAAUGGACGCAAGCCUGAUGCAGCCAUGCCGCGUGUAUGAAGAAGGCCUUCGGGUUGUAAAGUACUUUCAGCGGGGAGGCGUUACCCGCAGAAGAAGCAACGGCUAACUCCGUGCCAGCAGCCGCGGUAAUUC